GCAGGUUAAUAUUCCUGCGCCGCUGGUGUGGACCGAUGGAGGGACGGCGUCCCAAAGGUGAUCAGCCGACUAGAAAUGGCUGUAGAACGUCGCAAGGCGGCGGGAUCGGAAAAUCCGCCCGCACAAACCAAGCGGCGGGCUCGAGGACACUUAUGACUCUGAAGUCAUUGGAGGGACGUCCAAGAAAAGCUUCUAAGGGAUGAAGCACCGCGACCGUACUAAAACUGACACAGGUAGGCGAGACGAGAAGUCUAAGGCGCUCGGGAGAACACUGGUUAAGGAACUCUGCAACAUGACCCCGUAAGUUCGCGAUAAGGGGUGCCCCCGAGGGUUUACGCUUUUGGGGGCCACAGUAAAUCGGCUUCAGCGACUGUUUAUCAAAAACACAGGACUCUGCCAACUCGUAAGAGGAUGUAUAGAGUCUGACGCCUGCCCGGUGCCGGUAGGUUAAGGAAGAGGGUUAGCCUUCGGGUGAAGCUCGCAACCGAAGCCCCGGUAAACGGCGGCCGUAACUAUGACGGUCCUAAGGUAGCGAAGUACCUUGUCGGGUAAGUUCCGACCUGCAUGAAUGGCGUAACGACUGAAGCACUGUCUCAACCAGUGACCCGGUGAAAUUGUAAUCGUGGUGAAGAUGCCACGUACCCGCACCAAGACGGAAAGACCCCGUGAACCUUUACUGUAGGCUGAUAUUGGGCUGAAGCUUAGUUUGUGUAGGAUAGGUGGGAGGCAUUGAAGCCGGAACGCAAGUUUUCGGUGGAGCCAACCUUGAAAUACCACCCUGGCUACGUUUUAGUUCUAACGCUGAUUCCCGUGAACCCGGGCAGCGGACAGUUUCAGUUGGGCAGUUUGACUGGGGCGGUCUCCUCCAAAAGAGUAACGGAGGAGUCCAAAGGUACCCUCAGCCUGGUUGGCAAUCAGGCGUCGAGCGCAAAGGUAGAAGGGUGCUUGACUGCGAGACCCAUAAGUCGAGCAGGUACGAAAGUAGGGCUUAGUGAUCCGGUGGUCCCGCAUGGAAGGGCCAUCGCUCAUCAGAUAAAAGGUACUCCGGGGAUAACAGGCUUAUCGCUCCCGAGCGUCCAUAGCGGCGGAGCGGUUUGGCACCUCGAUGUCGGCUCAUCACAUCCUGGGGGUGGAGAAGCUCCCAAGGGUUUGGCUGUUCGCCAAUGAAAGUGGUACGUGAGCUGGGUUCAGACCGUCGUGAGACAGGUCGGUCCCUAUCUGGUGUGGGCGCACGAAACUUGAGGAGGUUCUUCUUUAGUACGAGAGGAUUUAGAAGGACGUAGCUCUGGUGUUCCUGUUGUCGCGCUCGCGGCACGGCAGGGUAGCUAACUACGGAAAGGAUAAACGCUGAAAGCAUAUAAGCGUGAAGCCCGCUCCAAGAUCAGGUUUCGUUAGCACAAUGUGCGAAAGUCCCCUGGAAGACGACCAGGUUGAUAGGCCGGAUGUGUAAGCAUGGCAACAUGCUCAGCUAACCGGUACUAACGGACGAAUGCUUGGCCAC
rnacentral:rRNA from 1 species